GGGGGCGACCGGCAUUCGACGAGAUAUGUGAGAUGCCAAAUCGCAUGCGGAGGAUUUCAGUACCCUCCUUAAUCAUCUGAUAAAAACAAUAUAUGCCGAUUAUGGCUAUAUGGCUGCAGCUUAAUUGAGGUAGCCCGCUUCUUAAUCAAUUUGCUUGUAGUUUUUUAAAGGAGCGUCAUCAAUACAAGCUAGUUUCAAAUCCGCCUAUGAAUUUGAAAUGAAAUAUAAUAGGCUGGCUCUUUUUGAUUUGGGUCUCUAAUAGAAAGAAGAGUAAGAAAAUAAUUAGAAGACUAAGCAUGUAGAAGUUUUUCAUUAAACUAUUUCGGACGGGAGUUCGAUUCUCCCCGCCUCCACAU
rnacentral:tmRNA from 2 species